rnacentral:sRNA from 1 species
UGUCAUCGGCAAAUCGAAGGUGUGACA